rnacentral:lncRNA from 1 species
UUGUUGUUCCAAUAGGGUCGGAAGCGUGUAAAUUAUUGUACUAAAAAAUCACACAAAGUUCAAUUCCCAGGGAAGAGAGGUGGAUCACAUGGAUCUCUUAAAUACCAAGUCUUUCCUUAGUCAGAAUAUCCCUUCUAUAGUAAUUUAAUAGCACAAUUAAAUACUACUAUUAUACCCUCAAAUAUUGAAAGAAAAAUAGGACAAGAAAGAACACAAGAGUUUUAACGAGGUUCGGUAAAUUAUACCUACGUCCUCGGGCACUAACACCAGAUGAUAACUUUACUAUCUUCAAAAUAUUACAAACAAAUAGAAUUCCUUGAGAAUUCUCAAAUGGGAGAAGAGAGACAACUAAGAGAGAAAGAUUGGUUGGGAUGAAUUGAAAUGAGAAAUGAGAAGGCCUAUUUAUAGUUGAGGUUUAAGGACCAAACAAUAAAUAGCCCAUUAUCUCAAGGACCAAAAAAAAAUUAUCCCAUGCCACUUUUUCAAAGUCAACUUUAGGGUGCUAAACUUGCACCACUUUGUAUUGUUUGCCAUUAAUGUUGUCUCCCAUUAAUGUUAACAAUCUCCACCUUGAAGAUUUGAUUAGGAUAAUCACAUCUUCACACACUUCCUUCAACUCCCCAAAUUCGAUAAAGCUAUCUUUUGUAGUGCCUACAAAUGUACUCUCGAGCGCCAUACACCUGAAGGUGCUCAAAUUCUUAGGAUGUUAAUCAAGUUCAAACAAUGAUUAAACUUGAUUGUUGUUACCACCUUGGUCAUCAUAUCUGCCGGAUUAUCUGCUGUCGGAAUCUUCUGAAAUAGAAUUUUUCCUUUUUCAAAGACUUCCCGCACAAAGUGAUAUCUUACGUCGAUAUGCUUGGUUCUUGAAUGAUAGACUUGAUUUUUCGCUAAAUGAAUAGCGCUCUGACUGUCACAAUGUAAACUUAUGUGACUUUGAACAACUCCUAAGUCUUUCAACAAUCCAUUAAGCCAAAUAGCCUCCUUAACAGCUUCUGUAACUGCCAUAUAUUCUGCCUCUGUAGUAGACACAGCUACUGUAGACUGUAAGGUAGACUUCCAACUCACUGGGGCUUUCGCAAGAGUAAACAGAUACCCCGUAGUUGAACGACGUUUAUCUCAAUCACCAGCAAAGUCGGAAUCAACAUAUCCAACUACAAACUGACCAAGUGCUUCAUCCUGUUCAAAAAUUAAACCAACAUCUACGGUUUUUUGAAGAUACCGUAGAAUCCAUUUCACAGCUUGCCAAUGUCCUUUUCCAAGAUCAUGCAUAUACCUGCUCACAACUCCAACAGCUUGUGAAAUGUCAGGCCUCGUACACACCAUCGCAUACAUCAAACUCCCAACUGCAUUAGCAUAUGGGACUUUCGCCAUAUAUUCUCUUUCAUCUUCAGUCUUCGGAGAUAAUUGAGCACUAAGUUUCAAAUGAGAAGCAAGUGGGGUACUUACAUGUUUUGUGUUUUCAUUUACACCAAAACAUUAUAAUACCUUUUUUUAGAUAUUGCUUCUGAUUUAAACAGAGCUUGCCUCUCGGUCUAUCUCUACUUAUCUCCAUGCCGAGAAUCUUCUUGGCCUCACCUAGAUCUUUCAUCUCGAACUCUUGAUUCAACUGAGCCUUCAGCUUAUCUAUCUCAUUUUGGCUCUUCGAAGCGAUUAACAUAUCAUCAACAUACAAGAGUAGAUAAAUGAAAGAUCCGUCAUGCAGCUUCUGCAAAUACACACAAUUGUCAUAUUUGCUUCUUGUGUACUUCUGCCUUCUCAUAAAGCUAUCAAAUCGCUUGUACCACUGCCUCGGGGAUUGCUUCAAUCCAUAUAGCGAUUUGUUAAGCUUACAAACCCAAUUUCUACCACCAGCAUCUGUGUAUCCUUCUGGCUGAGUCAUAUAGAUCUCCUCUUCUAACUCACCAUGCAAGAAAGCCAUCUUAACAUCAAGUUGAGCUAGCUCCAAAUUCAACUGUGCUACCAAGGCCAACAAAAUUCUAAUGGAGGAAUGCUUCACAACAGGGGAAAAUACAUCAUUGUAGUCAAUUCCCUCCUUCUGAACGUAGCCUUUAGCUACCAAUCUUGCCUUGUAGCGAAUAUCCUUCUUGCUAGGAGAUCCAUCUUUCUUUGCGAAUACCCACUUGCAUCCGAUUGCCCUUUUACCUUUCGGUAAUUGCGCCAACUCCCAAGUAUUGUUCUUCCGGAGAGACUGCAUUUCUUCAUCCAUGGCGCUUUUCCAUUUAUCACUUUCUAAGCUUUGCAUUACUUCUUGAUAAGUGAUAGGAAUAUCAUCAACAACGGGAAGGGCGUAGGCCACCAUAUCAGUAAAUCGAGCAGGUUUACGAAUUUCUCUCCGUGGCCUUGCAACUGCAACUAGUUCUGGUGUACUUAGUGGUUCUUGGGUCCGAACCUCUUCAACCUCUAAUUCCUCCAUUGUGGCUGGAGAAUUAGACUUAUUAACUGGGCAAAUCCCCAUCUGCUCAAACUCCACCUGUUUUGGAGUACACUCCACCUGCUGUGGAGUAUUGCUCGUCUGAAUAUCUUUAUCUGCUACCUUUUUCAAUGUGGCAGAUUCAUCAAAGGUAACAUCUCUGCUACAGAUCAUUUUCUUUGUGCUUAAGCACCAAAGACGAAAUCCCUUCACUCCAGAAGUGAUUCCCAUAAAGAGAGCUUUCUUUGCCCUCGGAUCUAACUUUGACUCCUUCACAUGGUAAUAUGCAGUGGAACCAAACACAUGUAAGGAAUCAUAAUCUGUAGCCAGUUUUCCAGACCAUACCUCCAUAGGAGUUUUUCUUUCUAAUGCAGAUGAUGACAAACGAUUAACAAGAUGGCCAGCGUAUGUCACAGCCUCAGCCCAAAAUUGCUUGCCCAACCCAGCAUUGGACAACAUACAUCGAACUUUCUCCAGCAAUGUUCGAUUCAUACGCUCUGCCAAUCCAUUCUGCUGUGGUGUAUCCCUAACUGUGAAGUGUCGAACAAUACCAUACUCUUGGCACACAUCGAAGAACGGAUCACUUUUAUAUUCCCCUCCAUUGUCCGUCUUAAGCCGCUUGAUUUUCUUGCCAGUCUGGUUUUCGAUCAUAGUUUUCCAUUUAAGAAAAACUCCAAGCACUUCAUCUUUAGUUUUCAUGGUAUACACCCAAACUCUUCUGGAAAAGUCAUCAACAAAAGUAACAAAGUAGUGUUUUCCUCCCAACGAAGGUGUUUUGGAAGGCCCCCACACAUCUGAGUGAAUAUAUUCCAAAAUACCUUUUGUAUUAUGGAUAGCAGUGCCGAAUUUCACUCUCUUUUGCUUUCCCAGAACACAGUGCUCACAAAAUUUUAAUUUGCAAGCCUUUGCACCUUUCAACAAUCCUUGCUUUGCCAGAAUUUGCAAGGAUUUUUCGCUGGCAUGUCCCAACUUCAUAUGCCACAACUGCAUUGAGUCCAAGUCUUUGUUACUGGAAGCUGCAGCGACUGCUCCAAUAACUGUACUACCUUGGUAGUAAUACAAGUUAUUUUUCCUGAUGCCCUUCAAUAUCACAAGUGCGCCAGAUGUCACUUUCAAAACCCCAUCUCUCAUAGUAACAACUAAACCAUUGGAUUCCAAGGCUCCCAAUGAGAUGAGAUUUUUCUUCAAACUGGGCACGUACCGAAGAUCAGUCAGAACUCUGGUUGAUCCAUCUUUAUUCUUUAAUUGGAUUGAACCUAUCCCAACAGUUUUACAGGCAUUGUCAUUGCCCAUAUAAACAACUCCUCCAUUUAGUUCUACUAAAUCAGAGAACCACUCCCGGUUAGGGGACAUAUGAUAGGUACAACCCGAAUCCAAUAUCCACUUAUCUGAAUGGAAUGACGAUGAUGAUGCAACCAGUGAUAGUUCAGAGUCACUGGUAUCAUGCUUUGCAACACAAGCAUCUACAGCAGCUUUUCCCUUAUUCUUCAGCUUUGGACAAUUUUUCUUCUAGUGGCCUUUCUCAUGACAAAAAGCACAUUCAUCUUUCCCGAGUCUGGACUUUGACUUUGAUCUCCCCUUUUGAGUUUUCUUCCGAGUGUAUGAACGACCUCGGACUACUAAAGCUUCUGUAUCUCUGAUUGAGUUUUUCUGUUUGUCAUUCUUUCUCUGUUCAUAACUGUAUAAGGCCGCACAGACUUCGCUCAGAGAUAUAUCACUCCUGCCAUGAAGUAGAGUAGUUUCUAGGAACUCAAACUCCUCAGGAAGUGACCCCAACAGCAUCAAAGCCAAAUCUUCAUCUUUGAAUGUCUCAUCCAUAUUCAGCAAAUCAGUGACUAACUGAUUAAAUUUGGUGAUGUGAUCAUUCAUUGUGGUACUUGGGACGUAAGUGAAGUGAAACAGUCUUUUCUUCAAGUGGAGCUUAUUUUGACUGUUUUUCUUCAAAAAUUUUUCUUCAAGUGCCACCCACAACUUAUUUGCAGAAGUCUCCUUUGAAAAAGCAUACCUCUGCUCUCGAGAAAGGCAUGAUCGAAUUGUGCCACAUGCCAACCGAUUGAUCGCCUUCCAAUCUUUCUCUUGUACAUCAUCUGGUUUCUCUUCAUCAAUGGCAAUGUCUAGACCCUGCUGAAAAAGGGCAUCUAGAACCUCACUUUGCCACAUACCAAAAUGGCCCGUGCCAUCAAAGAUCUCCACGGCCAAUCUUGCAUUUGCAAUUGUCGGUCUUGUCCACAUGGACGAUGUUGAAGCUCCUACACCGACCGUUUUCUCCAUAAUCUUUCAAUAUACCUAAGGAAAUCUUUUCUGAUGUGGAAAAUCAGUUUAAACUGCAACCACAGAGCAUACUACGAUUAACCUGGCUCUGAUACCACUUGUUGUUCCAAUAGGGUCGGAAGCGUGUAAAUUAUUGUACUAAAAAAUCACACAAAGUUCAAUUCCCAGGGAAGAUAGGUGGAUCACAUGGAUCUCUUAAAUACCAAGUCUUUCCUUAGUCAGAAUAUCCCUUCUAUAGUAAUUUAAUAGCACAAUUAAAUACUACUAUUAUACCCUCAAAUAUUGAAAGAAAAAUAGGACAAGAAAGAACACAAGAGUUUUAACGAGGUUCGGUAAAUUAUACCUACGUCCUUGGGCACUAACACCAGAUGAUAACUUUACUAUCUUCAAAAUAUUACAA